UACGAAGGGGGCUAGCGUUGUUCGGAUUUACUGGGCGUAAAGGGCGCGUAGGCGGUGCGAUAAGUCAGGCGUGAAAGCCCCGGGCUCAACCCGGGAAUAGCGCUUGAUACUGUUGCGCUUGAAUCCAGGAGAGGAUGGCGGAAUUCCCAGUGUAGAGGUGAAAUUCGCAGAUAUCAGGAGGAACACCGGUGGCGAAGGCGGGUCUCUGGGCCGAUACUGACGCUGAGGAGCGAAAGCGUGGGGAGCGAACAGG
rnacentral:rRNA from 1 species